UUGGUCCCCGGCAAUGGCGCCAAAAUUUGAUGGGUGUCGCGGCCCAUACAAAUUUAAUUGCAUAUUAGAAAUGCAGUAUAGCUAGGAAGUGACUCCUAGGUCGUCUCACAAGGACCAACUGCAGUUCAGAAUCAGGUCUAACACAGUGGGGGGGUUUGAAAGUGUUUGAGACGAGAAUUAAAUUCAAUUAAAAUGCAUGGAAAUUAAACACAACCGAAUAAAAUAGAAAACAUUAAAGUAAAAUAAAAUGC
rnacentral:lncRNA from 1 species